UUCACUGUAGUAAUUUAUUUUAUUUUUUAAUAAUGAAAGUCUUCAUAAAUUUGACAUAUGACUUUUGGCUACUUCACUUAAGAGUGAGUGUGUAUGUUGCAGAUUCAUGUGUGUGGUUUGCAUUUUUUUGAGGUUUUGGUUUGUUCUUAUUUUUCUUAUUUCACAUUUAUGUUUUUAAAGUUAUUCCUUCUUUAUUUUUUUAAUCACAGCAAUCCUCCCCUCAUCCAUGGUUUCAUUUUCUAUGGUUCCAGUUACUCAUGGUCAACCAUGGUCAGAAAACAGGACAAACUGAGAGUAAAAGAUGCAGGAAUAAAACACAGAAAUCAAAAUAAAGGGUUUACUGCUGAAAAAUCCGCUUGAACAAGCCUGUUAAUGUGAUCUUCCUGAAUGAAGCCAGCUUACCCCUAGGCCUCCACUGUCCCUCAGGAAAGAGAACACGAAAACUGGAACUCUCUGCAGAAAGGAGGAUCCCAAAGAAGGGGCCAAGCUGUACAUUUAUCAAUCAGGAAAGCCACUCCACCCUCCAUGGCAGCCCCUACAAUUUGAAACAAGUAUUCUUCCUAACAUAACACAUUAAUUCAUGAGUUUAUCAGUUCAUUUCAUUUUUACUUUGAGAUUUUUGUGAAUAACCAUAGAAAAAUCUAUUUCACCUGGCAAUAAAUAGGAAAAGGCACAGCAUAAUGUUUAAAUACAGAGAAUAUUGUUACAUGUAAGAUGUUGAUUGAAUGUUCUAAAUACAAUUUGAAAACUGCGUGAGAGGAGGAAAACGUAUAUUCAGAAGGACUUAGGUGAAUCCAGAUGAAUAUUUUCAUGACAGGAUGUUGGCUAUUGAUAUGAAGAAAGUAGAGGAAUAGACUUGCUAAAAGUUAGAGGAGUCUAGUUUAUCUUCCAAGAAGCUUUGCAACCCUGUAAUACUGUAGAAAUCACAAAUUUGGCAAUAAUUUUAAGAUAAUUUAUGUUCAUUUUUUAUGGAAUGCCAUGUUUAUCUUUUUAUAUAUGACAUUUUCUGGUCAGUAGUAAUAUAUAUAUCCUUUAUUAAAAUUGGAAAAUAAAUACAAACAUUUUAUUUAUUUAUUGGUUAAAAAAUUAUUAUGCUCAUUCUUUUUUUUUUUAACCAGUAAGGAUCUGGAUAAAGAAAAACAUUUUAGAAAACCACUUGUAGAGUACCAUGAACCAGUCUCUCUUCUCCAUUUUAAAAAAUUUAUUGACUCACUUUUUUUCCAUAACUUUUUGAGAUAUUAUUUCAACCACUUUGCAUUUAGAGAAAAAGAGUCAGAGAGUGAUUAAGAAAUCUGCCCAAUGCUAUACUGAUAGAAGCUGGGAGAACUGGGAUUUGAGCUUACAUAGGCUAGUUCUAGCAUUUGUGAAGUUCUCGCCUAAUAAAAAUUAUCUGUAAUCAUAACCAGAGCAAGUCAUUUCUAACCUCCUGUCUAUAGACACGCGGAUACAUUUGUAAUGUUUUUGUUUGUUUGUUUUUAGCACGACAGAUCAAUUCCUGCUGGCAUUAUAGUUCUUUAACUAUCAUAGCUUCUCUGAUUUUUCAACACAUCUGUCAUCCGUAUUCUGCAGGCAUAGCCAACUCUGUCAGUGUCUCCUCAGGCAAUCAGAAUCAACAGACAGAAUGUAGGACAGAAAACUGGCUGCAAACAUGUUGGAAGGGCUGGAGGAGCGAAAGAGGGAAGAUCUGUUACCUAGAGAUAGUAACUUCCAGAAGUUACCACUAUACUAGUGCAGGAGAAGCAGAAAGGAAGAUGCUGCUACCCAGAGCCCACAGUCAUUGUGCCCCUGAUGCCGCUGGAACCCCACUGCAGCUGCUUUACAGGAAGCAGGGAAUUAGCGCUCUUGCUGAUGCUACAGGUAUCCAGGAUCCAAAAGUCAUCAGCCGCUGUCCCUGUUGCAGCCUAGGGAAACUGUCCCACUGAGGUUGUUGGGGUACCUGCUACUGCAUCUACUGUCUGAACCAUGUUGCCUGAGCAGAUGUCCAGGGCUCAGGCUUGCCUGCUGCUGUUACUGCUGCCACCAUGUUUAUCAGAGCUACUUCAAGAAGAGAAGAAAUCCUCCUCAUUUCCAGUUUUUUCCAGUGCCUCCCAUUGCUUCCCAGAAUGCCAAAUUCUCUUUGAGAGACAGCUGAAAGGAAGGUUUGGAAAAGACUCUGGUGUAAGCAGAUUCUGCUUCCCUGCAAUAGGGGGAAAGCAUAGGGUGGAACUGGAGCUGAGAGCUAAUCACGAAUGAGCAAAUCAGUCUUCAAGACAUUUACCUUUCCUUGAAACGUUUCCCUUCUUUUACCGUGUUUUCCAUGUCAUUAUUUUUCCACAAUUCUGCAUCAUAUUCUGUUAACUAUUAAUGCCCUGGAUAAGUUUAUUUGCUCUUUCUUAGGGUUAAUUUUUCUCCUUUUCUUCGAAGCUUUAGUUUGCAGGUUCAGCUUGUGUGGGAAUUUUCAUCUCCCUCCUCUUCAAGACUCCUUGGAUAUCAGUUUUUUGGUUGCCUUCACCAACUCUCCCCCCACCAUCUCUAGACCAGGGCAUGGUCUUAGUUGGUGGCUUGGACUCCUGUGGCUUGGAGUCUUUGGGGAUAUUAGAGAUCCAGUCACUGAGCUGGCAAAGGGAACACUGUCCUUGCUUCCAGCUUUAUGAAGAACGCUUUGCUCUGUCACCCCACGUAAAUAAUCAUGUUAUUCAAGGAUAAUGAAUGCAGCCACCAUGUAAUCAUCACUGACUCCAUGGCCAUGAGAAAAGAGACCUAAGAAAUGAUGCCCAUCCAGAAGAGUGAAGACUUCCUGAAAAUGUUCUUUUAACCUAAGAUGUAGGUUAAGAGGAGUGAAAAAAUGUUCUGUUUCUGACUGAUGAUGGAGCAACAAAGGUAUGUUUCUUAUUAAUAACACUGAGCAGUUAGGAAGCAGAUGUGCCUCUCCAGGGAAACUCACAAGUGUCCACUGACCUAGUAUCUGCGGAGAACCAUAGCAGUUGUGGUCUCUCUCCCCAGCUUCAAGCAAGGGCAACUUUUCCCUGUGUCUGGUUCUUUUGCUGUCACCUGAAGCCACAGAAAAUGAUCUGAACCUGCUCAGUCCCUGGACAUAUCUGGGGAAUACAAAGUCUCAGAGUCGCUCUCUAAGAAUUGCCAGCAUGUUCUAGAGAUUCUUUAGAUGCAUAGCUGCAUGGAGCAAAACAGGGUCAGGGGAUGUGUGCCGAGGCCAAGGUCUUCUCUUAUGUUUCAAAAAUAUUAACAUUUCAGGCCUGUCUUCUUUUAAAGGAUAGCUCAUGUAUAUGAUUUUUUAAAAAAAAAUCUACCAAAUCAAAUAAAGAAGUCCUGGGAGUUCACCCGGUGUUUUCUACAGAACCAAGGUAUUCAUAUUGAGAUCCUUCAAUAUAAUCAGCUAUGUGACCUUGGUUAAGUUAAUUAAUGCCUCUGAAACUGAGGUUCCUCAUCUGUGAAAUGGAGAUAUUCAACAAAGCACCCUGUGGGGAUUAGAUGAGAUUGCACAUCUGACUGCCUAGAGUAUAGUAAGGGGUCACUGUUUCCUCUUCACUCCUCAGGAAAAUUUGAUUGAACAAGGAUAGAAACUUUGAUUCUAGGGACAGAAGGUCUUCAGAAGUCUUUGAGGCCAGAGGGCCUGUCAUAGAACUGCAGUGUAGGUUCAUUAAAACGCUGUCAUCCUAAUGUUUAUCCACAGUAUCUAAUAGAUUUAAAAGGAAGACAAUAUGGCACAGACUAUUUCGGAAACCUAUGCCCAUUCUGCCAAGAGGAUAUCGCUAUUGGUGGUCAGACUAUUUCACUUAUAAGGUUUCUUUUUUCCUUAAGUCAUAAAGAUUAACAUUUACUAAAAAUUUGAGGGUCCAUUAAUGGACUCCCACAUGGCUUUCCUCUUUCCUUUGAGCUGGAUUCAUUUUCACUGAGUCCCGAGUCCUGCACAUCUGACAAUUGCUUCAGACCUUGGACAUGCUUGAAUUAUUUUAUGCAAAUCAUUUGAAAAGGCAAAGUACCACUGUUCUUUCUUGAGUUUCUUCGUAAACUGGUUUCUAAUUUAUCUGCUGCUUUUUCUCGAUCCAAUUUGUGCCUAUGUCUUACUAUAGAUUCUUUGGAAAUAAAGAAAUAAAGAAUAUAUCUGUAGCUAUUUUGUUAAACUAAGAAUGUUUUAAAAUAUUUUAUUGUAAAA
rnacentral:lncRNA from 10 species